rnacentral:rRNA from 1 species
CCUACGGGUGGCAGCAGUGGGGAAUAUUGCACAAUGGGCGCAAGCCUGAUGCAGCCAUGCCGCGUGUGUGAAGAAGGCCUUCGGGUUGUAAAGCACUUUCAGCGGGGAGGAAGGCGGUGAGGUUAAUAACCUCAUCGAUUGACGUUACCCGCAGAAGAAGCACCGGCUAACUCCGUGCCAGCAGCCGCGGUAAUACGGAGGGUGCAAGCGUUAAUCGGAAUUACUGGGCGUAAAGCGCACGCAGGCGGUCUGUCAAGUCGGAUGUGAAAUCCCCGGGCUCAACCUGGGAACUGCAUUCGAAACUGGCAGGCUAGAGUCUUGUAGAGGGGGGUAGAAUUCCAGGUGUAGCGGUGAAAUGCGUAGAGAUCUGGAGGAAUACCGGUGGCGAAGGCGGCCCCCUGGGCAAAGACUGACGCUCAGGUGCGAAAGCGUGGGGAGCAAACAGGAUUAGAUACCCCAGUAGUC